CUACGUGCCAGCAGCCGCGGUAAUACGUAGGGUGCGAGCGUUAAUCGGAAUUACUGGGCGUAAAGCGAGCGCAGACGGUUACUUAAGCAGGAUGUGAAAUCCCCGGGCUCAACCUGGGAACUGCGUUCUGAACUGGGUGACUAGAGUGUGUCAGAGGGAGGUAGAAUUCCACGUGUAGCAGUGAAAUGCGUAGAGAUGUGGAGGAAUACCGAUGGCGAAGGCAGCCUCCUGGGAUAACACUGACGUUCAUGCUCGAAAGCGUGGGUAGCAAACAGGAUUAGAUACCCUGGUAGUCCACGCCCUAAACGAUGUCAAUUAGCUGUUGGGCAACUUAAUUGCUUAGUAGCGUAGCUAACGCGUGAAAUUGACCGCCUGGGGAGUACGGUCGCAAGAUUAAAACUCAAAGGAAUUGACGGGGACCCGCACAAGCGGUGGAUGAUGUGGAUUAAUUCGAUGCAACGCGAAGAACCUUACCUGGUCUUGACAU
rnacentral:rRNA from 1 species